CGACCAACCCUCGUUCAGCCACAGCCCACGAGGCCACGACCCCUCUCGUUCCACAUCGAGCCAGAGACGCCCUCGUCCCGACGACCGACGCCCUCGCAUCACGCCCUCAUCGCCGUCGCGCCGCCGUUCCUCACGGCCUCGCCGGUCGCCGGCCGGAGCCCAGGCCGCCUCCCCUUCCCGCCCGGCACCCCUGGCCCUCGGCUCCACCUCUUCCCGACGCCCCUGUCCUGCCCUUCUGCGCCCUUGACCCGAGCCACGGCCGCCUGGCCCUGCCGCACGCCCGCCCCCUGCCUCUGCCCCCUCCGACCUCCAUGCAAAGCCGACGCCCGUCGGUGCCGCUCACCAGCCAGUCUCUGGCCGUCUGGCGGCAGCAUCGCAGCAAGUGUGCAAAUCAAUUUAAGAAUUUUUGAAGAAUGAAGAGGGCAGGAGACAUUGUUUCUCUUUUUCAGAGAGAAGCUAUAAAGAUAGGGAAGAAGAGGAAGGCAAUGAAUAUGUCAGAUGUGGCCGAAGAGCAAGACGGAGAACUUGUAUGUAUGCAAUAGCCGAAGAGCAAGCUGGAGCCCGGAGACAUCGGUAUUGAUUCUACCGGUGGCAACAGCAAAUGUUGAGAGACCAUUUUCUGCCAUGAGUAUAGUCAAGAGCAAGUUGAGAAAUAAGAUGGGUGAUAGUCUUUUGGAUGAUUUCCUAGUCACAUACAUUGAGAGGGCUGCUUUUGCCGAGGUGAAUGAAGAUGAUAUAAUUGAUACUUUCAUGGCAAUGCAAAAGCUUAGGCCAAAAACAUAGUAUUUUUUAGCUUCUCAAGGUAUGCACUAUGGUCCAUAUAGUAUGUACUAUGUAUGCUUAUUUAUGCAAAACUUAGACUUAAUUGAGAA